GAAAAAAAGAGGAUAAGAAAAAGAAGGAAUCUACUCAGAAGGUCACAGAUCAAAAAACCAAAGUGGCACCAACAGCCCCAUCCAGCAGGAGGCCGUGUGGCUGCCAGCCCAUUUCUGCUGUGGCCACUCACUGCAGGAGGCCACACGGCACAUCGCACCGCUACCCGUA